CUCUGAUAUAAUCUAGAGAAAAAGAAGAAAUCCCCAUUUUCAUCACAUCAUUAGUAUAUUGAAGAAGAGUACGACAGAAAUCAGUGAAGAUGUUUUGGUUAGAAGCCGUUCUUCCAUUAGGAAUCAUUGCUGGAUUUCUUUGUGUGAUGGGUAAUUCUCAGUAUUACAUCUACAAAGCAGCUAAUGGCAGGCCUAAGCAUAUCGGUAAUGAUAUGUGGGAUGUGGCUAUGGACAGAAGGGACAAGAAGCUGGUCGAGAAAUUGUAUGCUGAGCAGAACUAGGUAAAUGGUGUCAAUUCACUCUCAUCUGUAAGGAAAUAAAGUGCUGAUGUAUCCACUAAAACUACUCAUUGAGAUGCUUCGAAUGCAGCUCAGACUUUGUUCCUUUUAUUUUACCUCUUUCAGUUUGGUUUUGUAACAAUUAUGCCAUUGUGUUUAUGUUUGACAAAUCUCCGAUUCACGGUUAGGUUUGUAUUUGGAUUCAACUUCAUGAAUGAGAACGAGCACUUGAGACAA